rnacentral:tRNA from 1 species
GUCCCCAUCGUCUAGUGGUUAGGACACCGGGCUUUCAAUCCGGAAACACGGGUUCAAUUCCCGUUGGGGACG